AGCGCGGGGCAGGGGUGUAGGAGCAGUGUCCCUCAUCCUCUUGAGGAGGCUGGGCUCUGGGUCUGGGGAUGGCUCCCUCUGCCUGCUGUCAGGGAGGUGGGGGCAGCUGGCAUGAGGAACAUUUUCAUUGGCUUUACUGGCUGUGGGGGCGGGGAGGGGACCCAGGCGCCUGCCACCACCAGGAUUGGAAGCACCAGGGUUCAGGUACUCCCGCGGCAAUGAAUUCCCACUAUGCACAGUCAGGCUGGUCAUGUCUGGGGGCCGUCUGGGCACUGUGGGGGGUGAGCACAUCGCUGGUUCCCCCCACCAUUCAGUGCCAGGAGCUCCCUCCCCCCAUCGUGACAACCACAGAUGCCCUGAGACACCACCCCGUGUCCAGCAAAUGUCAUGUUCUCCUUUCUCCAUCUACUCUGGGUGCACCUAUAAAUGCUGAGUCUGUGAGGAAGGACACCUCCACUCUCGGAGGACCUCGGGGGGAAGGAAGGCUCCGGAUCAGGCACUCAAGGCAGCCUGCCCUGGCUGGGCUUGCUGGGGACCAAGAGAGAAAUCAGACUGGCGGAAUGGGCCUGUGAGAGGGGCCCCGGGGAACUCCCACGUGGACUGAGGCGGACCUUGGGCAUCUGGGUCAGUGACCGCGGUGGCAUGUGAAUUUCAGCCAAACACACGGAUCUCUAGUCCAUUCUGAAGUGUUUCAAUAUCUACAUCCGACUUUAAAAUAAAACGCAGAGACGGGGCUGUGGACACGCGGCUGGAGCCAGACAAGGCGAGCCCGGCAAACGUUACCGGUGGGAUGGAGGCGGAGGUGUGUGGUCUGUGUCCGCUGGAAAAGUUCCUCAACGUUUGGAAAUUUUCAUAAUAAAACACUAAAGAGUAAAACUGGAAGAAGCUCGAAGCUCCUGUUAUCAUGCCCCCAGCCUGGCCCCUUCUCCGAUCUCUGCUCCUGAGAACGGAAAGGCAGGCCUUUGGACCGCGUGGACCAAGCUGCAGGAAAACAGGCCAGAACUGAGGGCUGUCAGCCAGCCCGGCAGCCGUCUGGCCACGGAUCCACACGCAUGCGUCUGUGGCCGUGAGAUAGAGCGGGGGACCACAGGCCACGCUGGUGGCAUCGGGACAACGUCGCAAACGCGCACGUUCGAAGCCCCCGAGGGGAUGGACGACACAGACGUGAGCAGGGCUUAUCUCAAACGGGCGAACUGUUCUUAUCUCCCUUGUACUUCCCGUGUCCACGCUCCUGGAUACACCCAGUGAGGCCAAUGUUUCCGCAGAGGUUUCCUGAUAGAAAACGGUCCACAGGCGGAGAAUUUCUGUUGCUGAAUAUGAGACCCACGGGGCGCCCAGCGGGCUCAGUCUGUGGAGCGCGCGACUCUCCAUCUCGGCAUUAGAGAGAGAGAGAGACAGCGAGAGAGGAAACACAAGCAGGGGAGUGGGAG